rnacentral:lncRNA from 1 species
CUCUCUAUAUUCCCUUAGGAAGUUCCAGAGCAUGUUCCAGUGAUGAAAACAAUAGGAAAUACACUGAUGAAGAGGACACUGGUAUUUUUUGAGAAACUCCAAGGUUUGUUGUCUCUACAAAUUGGUAUUGAUAGAAGGAGAUGCUACCAUGGGACUAGACUCUUUAGCAUCAAUAAUGAUGAUAGGAUUCUAAAUUGUCAGAGGCCAAGUGGCAAUUCUUAAGUGACAGGAACAAAAUAUUGAUGAUUACUGUACUUGGGAGACACUUUGUUCCCCAGGCAUCCGCGGCACUCAUCAAAAUACCAAGGUGUUCUCAGUGGUGAGACAGACAGCCAACUCAGGUGGUCCUUGACUUGACGGGUUGGGAAAAGAAAUCUUCCCACAAGCAUAGCUCAAAGUUGAUCCAAUGGUCCAUAGACAACAUGUGAUUAUUUCUACAUUCCCCAAAUGAAUAAUUUGGAAGAUAAAAUAGCCAUUAGAAUCCUCCCAUUGGUCCCCUGACCUAUUGAAUAGAACUAGUAAGGUAGGAUGGGCCAAGUGGGAGCCUCUGAAACUAUCUAACUUCAGCUUCAUCAACCAAGAGGUAAUACUUGAGUCAACACCAUAUUCAGAAAAAUUGGUGCCCUCAUCAAACUUAAAGUAUAUGGGAUCAUGUUCUCCAGCAUAUUCCUACAUAAUUCACAUGCAUGGCCCUUGAAAGUGAUAAACUGACAGACCAUGGUGCCUGAGAAUGGACCACUAUAAUCUCAACCAAGAGGUAGGCUCAAUCUUAGCUGCUGAGUUAAAUGUGGUAUCUUUAUUGAAACAGACCAACACAGCCUCUGGCACUCAGUACGCUGCUAUUGAUCUAGUGGAUAUGUUCUUUUUAACUUCUCAUCAAUAAACAGGAUCAAAAGCAGGUCUCCUUUAAGUGGAAAGGACGUCAGUUCACAUUGAUAGUCUUGCCAAAGGCUAUAAGAAGCCUCUUGUGCAAUGUCACAAAGUAGUCUGCAGGGAUCUUAAUUGUCUUAAUAUUCCAUAGGCACAUGGGAUAUGUUGGAAUACUAACAUGAUCACAUCAUGCAAACCCAGCACAGCAAGCACAAGUAGCAACUUCUGUGCUAGAGGGUGAGAAGGAAACCCUCACAAAGAUUCCUCCGUUUGCCCCAUCAGUGAGACUUUUAGGAAUCUAGUGAUUUGGGGCAUGAUGGUACCAACUCUGAGGUAAAGGACAAGAUGUUAGGUCAUACAUUUUGUUCCAGUUUUCUAUUUCAAGUCACCCCAAAUGCUAGUGAUAUCAAAUACGGUCAUAUUACUAUAUUCAAAGAUUCUCUGAGUCUGAAAUUUGGAUAGGACAUAGUCUCUACUCUUCAAUUUCUGCCAGCUUUUCUAAACUGGGAUUCCAUGAUAGAAUUUAGACCUAAUGCCCUAAGGCAUCCAUUUUUAUGGAAUAAACCAAUUCCUCUUGUAUACACCUAGAAUGGUAUUAGUAAUGUACUAAACUUGGGACAACUGAGAAAAUAAUUAUUCAAACAGCUGAGGAAGGCUGACCAGAGCCUAAAUUAGGAAAAUGCAAAUGGCUGAGAGUGACUCAAACUGGGCUGGAACCUUCUGGAAUCAUCUUCAUUUACGGGGCUAGAAGUAAAAAGCCUAACCAGAUUCCAGAAGAUGGGAUGUGAACCUCUUCUCUUGAUAGAAGAAAUAUCAAAUAUUUUUAGGUAUUUUAAGACAAAACAACAAAAUACCCUUAGAAAUUAGAGAUAACAUAAACCACUCUUGGAGAAAUUGCUAGCACCUGAGUUGGAUGACUGGAAGGCCAGGUUCAGUGAGGAUGACCAGAACACCAACUCAUGGCCCCUCCAUGCAGCUUAGACCCCCACAGUAUGACAGCAUCAGGUAGUUGGAAGAGCAAGUGUUCCACUGACCAAGGGAGAAGAUGCACAGCCUUUUAUGAUCCAGCCUCAGAAGUCAGAUGGUAUUAUCUAAUCUUCCACCAUAUUCUAUUAGCUGAAGCAAUAAAAAGCCUAACCAGAUUCCAGGGGAAAAAACAUGGACCCCUUCUCUUGAUGGAAGGAGCAUCAAAAAAUGUUUAGGUAUUUAAAAACAACUAAAAAUAUUUAGAUUGGCCAAAUUAUAUUAUUAAAUUAUGUGCAUGUAUGAAUAUGUAACAACAAAUCUUAUCCUUACGUAGAGCUAUCAUGCACCAAUAAAAUAUGUGAAAAAACUUUUAAAAUCCAAAAUAGCAGAUACAAUCCUUGGGAAGAUUGCUCUAGGCUAUUUAUUGGGUGACUUGAAAGGUUGCAGUGUUGAGCGUCUGAGAAGAUAUGUAGCACAUCUAGACUUUGGCAAAAAUGGCCAUGCCACUCAGGCUAUGAGACUAGGGGGUCUAAUGUGUUUUGCUGUUUGUUGCAAAUGAAGAUGCUGGAUGUAUGGAUUCUCUGUUGGGCCCAAAUGAGUGAGCUACAGCAUAGAUCCUGUGGUUCUGGAGUUAGGCCUUCCUUCUAUAGCAGAAAGCUACAUGCCAUUUGAAAACCAGCUACUUUCUGAGCCCUGAUGAAGAUGGGUCUGCCACCCAUAGACCAUCAAGUGACUGUGUGGUGGAAGGUACCCAUUCUGAGCUAGAUAUUAUCAGAUCCACAAUGUUGGUCACAAUGUUGAGCAGGCAGAGCAAUAAUCCUUCAUAUGAUAGAAAUGAUCUAGAAGAGAUCAAAGGGGCACAACUAAGUCCCAUCUGCCCCCAAUUCCUGUGUUCUUUACUUCUCUACCUCAGUUCAUAAUUGAGACCUGAUAGUCCUCAUAACCAAUAAAGGAGGAUCAAAACUCAAUCUUAGUUCAUAGACAGGUUGACUUGACAAUUGUUGCUAGUGAAAAGUGGGUUACCAACAGACUAUAGCCCCUUUCAGAUGUGGUCCUAAAAGGCAGUGAAGGUCACUCUUCCCAGUGACAAUGCACUUGCUCAUUCUCUGUGUAGGGAGGAAAAAUUGACAUCAGACAAGGAUAUACCUUGACCCAUUGCAUUGGUGAAUGGCUGGCUUGCUGGAUGGAUCAGAAGCCUCAAAGAGGCAAACUUCAAGUGUAAGCAUGGAGGAACUCAUGUCAAUGUGGAUGGACCUGUGGUACAGGACACAUAGCACAUGAUUGAUCUUUGUUUCACAUCAAGGUCAACCUCCCCUGCAACUGCAAUACUGAAAAACUAGGUGACGAGAUGUCCUGCCAGUCAGCCUCUCUCCACAGCUACUCCGGGAUGUGCAUUGCAAAAGGGAGAUUAGCAAGGACAGAGGUUUUUCAUGUCCUGACCCCAGCAGCCUAAGUGCCAUCUCACCAAAACCAGUCUAACAACUGCUGUACUGAAUGUCUUGCUGUCACUAGAGACACUGACAUGAAGUCACAUGAUGUGUGCUGCAAUAUGGCACGUAUCCCUAAAGAAGUCCAGCCAGUCAGUUGGUGGUAGGCUUUUUACCUCAGAUGCCCUCUAUCCCAAGGGAUCUGUGAUAGGUCAUCACCAGAACUGACACAUAUUUGGAUAUGGGUUGGCCUUCCUUGCCCUGAUGACUCCACCAGCAUGCCAUCAACUAAACCAUUCUGACAUAUUUGCACAACCUUUGACCAAUUUGUGCCAGAAUUUGGAGCCAGAAGUCAGGAAAUAUUUCUCCCUCCCAUUCCUGGGGAAGACAAUCCUAAAAUAUAGUCUCUACAGUUCUCCAGGGGUCCAAGCAAUAUGGAGGUCCAUUUGACCACAAUGGGGACCAGCUCGAUAAAGCACCUGGGGCUUGCUUUUCCUCCUUCUUUCAUCUUUUACUCUUCUAUUCCUGGUGUCCGUAUUUCCCAAAAUACAGGACCCAGGCUAAGACACUAUCCCAUCUGUGCCUAUUCACAAAACGUGCUUUUUCUAUAAAGUGAAAGAUCCACGUGUUGUAGUUCAAGCAACCUCUACCCACAUCUGCAUCCUUACACGUUCAGUAAUCAAGUUCCUGCGUAGGUAUUGUGGAGGCUUUGGGAGGAUUCUAUUCUUGGCUAUGUCAUCCAUCACCCUGUCCUGCAGGUUGUGCAGCUGGUGCCCUGCACAGGGGGACCUGACCAAAGGGCAAAGGGGGCUUCAUUCACCAAGCAGAGCACCCAGAGCAAGCUCCAUCUGCCCAGAGGAAAGUGCACCUAUUCCCAAUUUACAAAAGGGAGUGUCAGCUCACUAAGUCAUGACCAGAGAGGCACUUCCACAAGAGGAAGUGACAGUUUUUCAUCACUAGAAAAAUCAUCCUAUUUAGGGAUCAGAAAAUGUCCAGCAUCCACCCACAAUCCCAUCUCAGUUUUUGUUUUGUUUUGAUAUCAGGGAUUGAACCCAGGGGCACUUAACCACUGAGCCACAACCCAGCUCUUUUUUAUACUUUAUUCAGAGACAGUUUCUCCUUAAGUUGCUAAGGGCCUUGCUAAAUUGGUGAGGCAGGAUUUGAAUUCGUGAUCCUCCUGCUUCAGCUUCCCAAGCCACGGGGAAUUACAGGCCUGCACCACAGCACCCUCCUCUCAGCUUUUAACAGCCCAACAUUUAAUUCAAAGCCCUGAGCAUUUUCUUGAUUAAUUAAAGACUCAACACAGCUCAGCAGAUAUUUUAAAGACCUUAGAUUCAGAACUAGUGAGAAAUCAUAUCCUUCUGAAGUUGGAAAGAACUUUAGAAAUAAUUUAAAGUUUAGGCCACCCUACACACACAUUUGACAGGUGAUGAAACAGAGUCCACAUCACUUCUACAUCACCUCCUGUCUUCAUUAGGCCAGAUUCCAGGCUCCAGCCAGGGUACUGCCUGGCAAUAUCACUGAUGCAGCUCAGGGAACUUCACAAAGAUGAGGAGAGUGAGAAAAGGAAGCAAGUCGUGCCAACUUAAAUCUUAACACUUUUCACUUGUGUGUGAUGCUCUUGAAGGAGUUUUUGCCAUCUAUGAACACUAGGCAACCUCCUUAUCUCUAUCCUUUGACUUUAGUUACUAGGCAUCUGUAAAAUCGAGGACAUGUGGUUGCAUUCACAUUAUUUCAAUGUACACUGAAGACAGGUCGAAAACAAAGAGAAACAAAAAGAUAUAAAAGGAAAAGAGAUUUGUUGAAUGGCCAUUUGAUCGUUGGGUUUUCAACAAGCCAUGGACAUUACUUUGGGGCCUUUUGACUCACUGGUGACAUAGCUUUCAGCGUGUUCUGUUGUAGGUGGUAAUUGAUCAUAUUUCACUCUAAAAUGAAAGACAAGACUGACAAAAAUCUAGUUAUAAAGCCUCUGGCUAAGAGGAAGCCAAGAAAGAGAUGCAGGUGAGCUUGUUUCCAAGAAAUGAAAUAAAGAACACGAGGGAUCAUGCUGUGGCCCAGGCUUAAAGAGUUCUUGAAUUCUCAUCUCGGCUCUGUCAGUUACCUCUACGUGUCCUGCUGGCUUCUGCUCAUUAUCUUGCCCAGGUGACUGCUCCUGACUUUUCAUAGGUUAGGAGAUUAAGUAAUGAUGGUGAUGUGUGUUUGACAUCUUCCAUGCAAGGAAGGGAUCUGCCCCGACCUCUCCUUUGAGCCAGAAUAUGUAACUGAGCUCCAGCAGUUACACUUGGGCACUUUUUCCAUGACUGUAUACAGUGCAUAUUUUGGAUACUGAGAACCCACUUAGGUGAUCUAGGUCCUAAAUUUCCCCUUACAACACUGGUGUCCAUCUACCUGAUAGCUAGGAUUAUGAGAUGGACAAGCAUCAACAUACCUGCCCCUGUCUGAGGGUACCUACUGUCAGGCUCUGUACUCUUCCUUGUGGCUGGAAAGGCCCAAGUAACCCUGGAGGGGGUGAAGUUUAAAGGAUGGAGGGUAUUUUCAUAGGUCAUCACUUGGGCCACAGGGCGGGGCAGAGGGCCCAAAGCGUGAGAGACUCAUUUUACAUCUUAUGCAAGCAGAGGUCAACUACAUCUCUCUGCUUUCAAAGUAGCAGGGAGGAAACAAAAGGCAGGGAGCAUCUUUUCAUGCAAUGCUGGACAACUGGUAAAAGCCAUGUCCAGUAACCCCAUUUCCUGAUUAGAGUCCCAAUCCUGCUGCUUAUCAGCUGUGUGACUUGAGGCAAACACCUUCAUGUCUCUGGGCCUUGGCUUUCUUGCAUGGGAACAAGAGAAGAGAAUAACUGACACUUUUUGACUGUUUGCCAAGUGCCACACCCAGUUCAGAACCCUUACUUAUAUUUAUUCACUUUAUCCUCAUAAUGAUGCCAUGACAUAGACACUGUUACUGUCCCCAUUUUGUGGAUAAGAAAACUUGAGUCACAUGUUUGGAAAAUGGUAGGAGCAACAUUCAGAAUCAGGAAGUCUGGCUUCAUUAUCCAUGCUCUCAGUCUCUUAGUAAAGUGGUUGACAGUGUCACUCUCCUCACAGUGUUGUUGUGAGACCUGAAUGAGUUAAUGAUGUUGAACGCUUAGAGCAGGCAGCGCCUGCCACCUGGCAAGUGCACAAUCAAUGUGCUCCUCUUACUGCUCCAUCAUCUGGGGCUGGUAAUGAGGACCCUGAAGUGGAAGAGACAGGGGAGUGGGGAUGGAACAGCAGGAAAGGGCAAGGUGGACUGGGGAUGACUUGGCUCUGCCUUUCCCCGGCGGUCCCCUCUUCCCCCCAAGCAGCAGGAAUGAAAUUAUGAGCAUCCAAAGGUGUACAAUUUUAUCUCUGUCUAAAAUUCCACAAAGAAAUUCUGCACUCAGUGGGGGCCAGGAGAGCUCUGAUCUCAUCCCCAUGCUUUUGAAAGUGAGCACAGGCAGAAAAAUCACCUCAUUCAGCUCCUAUUGCCCCCAAUAGACUCUUCAUUUCUGUUUCAGUUUCCUGACCAAGAGACACCCCUUUCCUCCGGGAAAACCAACCCCCACACUUUACAGUGUAGAAAAACCUUACAUAUACAUUUUCUUGACUGAACCUUCCAACUUCAGUGGGAGCCAGGGAAGGUGGACUGUGUCUUAAGAGGGGUGACCCUGAGACAGCUGCAGAGUGGGUCGUGCUAUAUUUGGGGAAAUUGAACAUUUCCCACUGAUCCAGUGUUCUGCUCCCUGUGUUUUCUGCUCAUCCUCUUUGUCAGGCCUAUUUUCUGGCCUCCUCCACCCCAGGCUGUGCAGCACGAAGCUGACCCCAAGGGAUUGUGUCCCAGACUCCCUUGCCAGCUGCCUCCUGGUUGGACUUGGUCAAAGUGACCCUCUAGCAGGAAACAAGAAGGCAAGAGAGAUGAGGGAAGGCAGGGUGCUACUUCCCUGCUUCCCUGGUGUCUGACCAAGGCAGCGACCCUUUCCCUCUGAGGCAUCCAUCUGGGGCACCCCUCCACAACUCCUGUCUGCUGGGCAGUGGUGACUAUUUCCUCCUUCGGGUGGUCACGGCUUUCCACUGUUCCUGGGAACCUUGUCAUCCUGUUCACUUCCUCUGUCACCCUCACAGCCAUGUCUUCAUUCAUUGUUUCUCAUUUGCACCAUCUGGACAAUUCAGGUCCCUGCCAGGACCGUGGCUGAUUCCUCUACAUGCCCGGGGAUUGCUUUACCCACGAGGCCCCAUAGUAGAGCUGAAUCUUUUCCAUUAAUUAUCAUUAUAAAAGUUAAUCUGCUUGAAAAUGCUGAAUAGUUUAUUUUUAACAUUUAUUGACAUUAAAAUUAGAAGUGAUUGAUGAGCAUGAAAAAGAAAACAAGCAACACACAUUAUUCAGUCCACAAAGAUAGCCACUCUUUCCCAAUUUUUUUUCUUACAGCAAAAAUAUCACGUUAUCUCUACUAUUAUUUACUAGGUAAUAAAGCUUAAAUAUAUUAUGAACAAUUUCCUUCAUCAACAACAAUAAAUUUAAAUCUUCGACUUCGAUGAAUUUAUUUCUACUACUUCUAAAUCAAGAUUCUUAAGGGCUGCAUCGUAUUCUGUCUAGGCCUAUACCACAGUUAGUUGGUCUUCUAUUAAAGGAACAUUUAAGUAGAUUCCAAAUUUUUUCCUUAUUAUCCAUACUACUGCAAUAAAUAUCCUUGUGCAAUAUAAAAAUAUUUGAACAUAUAGCAUGAUCCACUCUGUUCUCUGAAAGCAAACCCUGCAAGAAUGCAGCAGUCUCAGGGUUACCCCUCUUAAGACACAGUCCACCUUCCCUGCCUCCCACUGAAGUUGUGGGGUUCAAUCGAGAAAAUGUAUAUGUAAGGUUUUUCUACACUGUAAAGUGUGGGGUUGGUUAUUGGAGUGCAUUCUUGUUCUUUCACAACAAACCCACAAGGCAAACACGGUGGAUAUAUCCUCAAGGCACAUUGUGCUAACAAUUUUGCCAGACAUAAAAGAAUUGAAGUCUUUCUCUGAGGCUUUUAUAUAUUUAUUUCUCUUUAGCACAACAAAGAAUUGUGUGUUGGAAAAGCAGCCUUCCUGUACAAGAGUAAACUACCAGCUGGCAAUCUGUUCUAUCUGCUUGGUGCACGUUAAUUCUUUGUGUUCCUUCUGGAGGAUGAUCACCAACAAUUGAAGGAAUUUGAGUUGCUCGAAAGGUCACUGUGGCUCUGAAGCCCCUCACUGUCAACGUUGGUGACUCCAACUCCAAAAGCUGAUUAGUCAUAAUGACUACUUUCUGUUCCUUUCUUGAUAGUCUCUUCUAAAAAGCACUUUAGAUAACUGCUUGAUUUUUAAAAAUUGAGGAGUAGUUUAGUUUUUUUUUCUUUUUUAAAUGGGAACUUUCAUGUCAUGUAAAGAAGCUACAUUGACACCUCACAUGAAAACUACCCCAUCACUCAGAAGCCACUCCAUUUUGGAUGAAUUUUUGAUUCUCCUUCUGUGAAUCUAAGUUCGUGGAUUUUUCUCUGCUCUUGCUAAAUACUAUUAACAUGUCAGAGCACAGUUUCCUGGAGCAAGAGUCUUACAGAGUUUUCAAUUCUUAAUGAAAGGUACCAGACACAUUUUUAAAAACUGACUUGAGUCAUGCUUCAUGCUAUUUGUUAAGUAGUGUGAAAAGAAAAGUCUUGUUACCUGGGUGAGGGUAGGUGUGUUCUUCCUGGGUAAAUGGUGUUCUGGGGCAUGGUAUUCCAUCGGGUUGCUUAUUUUCUAUUGCAGUUCAGUUUCUCCAUGAAAAUUCAAUAAAGGGGACAUAAACCUACUUUAAAAUGUCAAGAAGGUCUUUACUUUAAAUCCCCAUGAAUUAAGAAAUGCACAAAGCUGCCUCUUGGACUCUUUUCUCAACUACUUGAUCAUUUCUCUCCCUUCUGUAAAGAAUAGAAAGGGGAAGCAGGGCAUGCCCAGUGUUUAUGUGUCAGAUGUAACUUUCCUUCACAGAAUGAGGGGCCCAGGACUUGUUUUCUGUGUGAGACAAGGAAGCACCUGCCACCUAGUGAGACCGGCCAGGUCCAGGGGUGCUGGCAAGGGAAGAUGUGCAGGCCCUGCAGAGAGAUAUUGAAAUUGCUUUUGUUUCCUUCCUUCCUUCCUUAUUUUCUCUCUGUAGAUGUUUUACUGUUUCCAUGGGUUGAUUCAUUUCCAUCACCCUACUUGCCCCACUUUUUUUUUAACAGUUGUUGUUCAAUCAAUGAAAACAAGUAAGAAACACAAUUAUGAUAGAAAGGGGAGAGGAGAUCCUAAACUACCAUAUUUGAGGCCCAUGGGAGACCUGGAUUCAUUUUCAUUUUCACUGUUUAGUUCUGAGCUUAGCCUGUUUCAGUAAAUGUGUGAAUAAGUAUGAUCGGGACCGGGUUUCCUUGCAGCUUUAGAAAAAAAAAUCCAAUAGCCCAAGUCUCUUUUUACCAUGAUGGAUUCUUAGAAGGCAAGAACUGUAACUCCAUGAGCACGAGGUCCCCACACCACAGCCAGCGCCUUUGUCAUGUAGCAAUUCCUAAAAUGGGAAUUUUAGUAGACUAGAGAAUAGCUGGAGUUAACCAAGUUGUAGGUGAAAUUGUCCAUCCCUCCGUUUGUCUCUCUUGUCCUUUCUUGUACCCAUAUUCUCCUAUGCAUCUUAGAUGCUUAAAAUACUAAAUAAUAAUCUAAAUAAAAUACUAAAAAAUAAUCAACUAGCAAAGAGUUACAAGAAGUAGAAACUCAAGGAGCCUAGUUGAAACAAACAAAAGUACCGUCAAGAUGACUGUGCAAAGAAUACUUGAAGAAAAAUCACAAUAAUAUAUUGGGAAAUAUCAGGAAAAGAUAACUAUAGGAGCACAGAAGUGAGCUGAGUCUUAAGUAGGUGGGAAAGAUGGGUGGGACUCCAAGGUGCAGUGGGGAAGGAAGAUGCAGUAUUUAUGGAGUACAAGUCGGCGGAGGUGCAGAGGGAAGUUUGAAUAAUAUGUUAAAAAGAGAGUGAGUCUGACUAGAAAAGUGUUCCUGGAGGGACAAUGACACCUAGGGGACCUAUGUUAGGAACAAGUUUGUCCAAUGAAGGAAAGCCCAAGGGACUUGGACUUCAUCCUGGAGACACCAGAAUCACUGCAUAUUUGGGGACAGGAGAGGAGCAUGGGAAAACAUGCCUUUAAAGAUGAUUAAAAUGACACUGAUGAAAGAUGGGUGUCAGGGAGCUCCCGACCAGUCUAGCUAUGAGACCGCAGGAGCUGGGAGAGGGUGGUGGCUGUGGUCAAGGAGAGAGUGUAAGUGGAUGACCACUGGAUGACUUAAUGGAACUCUAGGGAUUACCCAGGAUCCCCUCAAGGAAACAUCUGGCAAAAAAAAAAAAAAAAAAAAAACCUUUUCUCUUUCUCUAAGAAUUCUAUUUUGCUCCCAUACUUUGUCCUUGACAGUCUGAUAAACUAUGCUGUGCUACAAUGUUAAGGGUGGAUUAUGACUUAAAGUGGGUACAAGAUAACACAAAAUUGCACAGUGAUGAGGAAUAUGAAGCAGGAGGCACAUUGGGAGAAAUAAUUUCUCAUCGAACACCCUCAAAAUAUAUGUAGGAAUACAUAGUUUUCAGCAGUAAAAAGUAAAAAGAAAAAGAAAAAGAAAAAAUUAGUGUUCAGGAGUUUGGAGGGAGAGUUACACAAUAAGCCAUUUACUCCAAAUUUUUCUUCAAGUUGUAACAUUUGGGUUGUGGUUGAUUGCCAUGACAUCGAGAGAAAGUGAGUUAUCUAGGAUUAAGUGUCAUUACCUAGAUUCCUCAGGGUCAUUGCGUCUCCUGUAUCUGGACUCCAGGAAUGAGUCAUUUAAAGAGGCACCCCCAAACAGGAGUUUCUGUUCUUGGCGGUUGCUCUCUGCAGUGACUGUCUGCUUGGACAACCUGAUAAACAAAUCAGGGAAGAAGCCAAGAGUACCUAAAACAGCCAUGCAAAUUUUCACAGGUUUAGGGUCACCAUGAAACAAGGACUGGCCAAAAUGACCUCAGGCAUUUGCCAAAGAGAAGAGGCUUGCUUCUAAGAAUGUUCUCUCCAGCUUCUGUGUUUCCUUCCAUGACAGGCAUCAGUGGUGUGACAAUUAGGUGUGGUGGGUGGGCACUUCUGUGGGCUGGCAGCCUAUUUUAACUUCCAACUGUGGGAGUGAGCUUUAAUUCUGUGCUAAAAUUAGGGGAAUCCAGCAACUCCUGUGGUUAUUUCAAUCAGUUCCCACUUAUUGAGUAGCAGCAGCACAGUUAAGUAAUAACAUGGUAACCUUGCCAAGACAUAAAUGAAAUGCUGAGUGGUGCCCAGUUAGAUCUGAAGUUGCUUCAAUGAUCUAAGUGGAGAGCCAAACCAACAAAAGGGCUGCUGGCACCUCUGAGGGAGGGGAAGCCAGGGACAUGGAAUAGAAUCCCAGGAGCAGCUCCCCUGAUGCAGAGGAAAUUUUUAAGGGAACAGGAGUUGAUUGGCCUGGCAAUCCAAAUAUCACCAAAGAAAUGUGAAGAGCCCCCAUGAUCAGGAAGGUUUGGUUUGAUCCUGCCUCUCAGAGAGGGCACACAGGCCCUGCCAGAGGAGCCCACCACCAGAGCCAGGGCCUCCAACAAGAACUUGGCCCCUGGUGCUUGAGCUCGCAGUGCAGUAAUGAAGGUAAUGAUGGUGUAGAUAGGCAGCUUCCACGGCCACACUGUGCAGAAUGUUGCUCUGACUGGCUCUGCAUCGACAGGAAGAUUUUCUCUAGCUGAGAGAACAAGCGGCCGUGAUGCCAGCUUCGCAUUCAGACCAGCAGCCCAGGUAAGCAGAGGAUGCCAAGGAGCAGGGCAGAACCAGAGCCUGAGAGGAAGGUUCUAUAAGGAUGCUUGGAGCACCAGGAGGCUGCCCAUCCUGAGAUCAUCCCCGCUGGGUUGGAGUUAGAGUAAAAAGAAGAUAGGCAACUAGGUGAUGCAGAUCGUCAGUGGCAAAGGUAGCUACAGACUGAUCACCCACGUUUUAGGAAUAUGCAGGCUUUUUCAAUUCGCUUUCCCCACUCUUCUUGACUGACCAUUUUCCCCUGGGUAGUUAUGACCUGAGUUUAAGUUCAACUUAAACUCAAGUGGCAGAGUUUACACAAGGGCAGAAGACACGAUCAUUGGUGGCCAUGGCAAACGUCUGCCUACCACACCAUUAUCAUUUAGCCUGAGAACCGGAAUAAGUAGCCUCUGGCACUGCAUCUUCCUGUGGUGUCAAAUCUGGCUGCACUUACUAGGAGCUUUUAUAAAAUACUAAUACUGGAUACCACCCUGGAGAUUCGAAUUUAAUUGGCCUCAGAUAGGCCAAGGCGUCUUUAUUUGCAUAUCUCCCUCAUGUAAUUCCAGUGAGCAGCAGGGUUGACACACACUGAUUUGAUCUCUCCACAAACGUCAGAUAAAGGAGGAGACAGGUUUUGGCUAACAGAAAGUAUGGCACAAGCUCUGGAUGCAUGUUAAAAGUCGUCAGAAGGGCCUCCCCAACACCCACCUGAGGGUGGACUCACCUCCACACCAUCAACCACAAGGACAGCUGGCCCUUCUGCCCAUCCACACCAGGCAGCUCACAGCAGGACACAGCAGACUGCCCUGAGGUUACCUAUGCUGAACCAAUUUUGGUGAUCUAUUCUUACUCUCAUCCUUUGAGUUUUAAUACAAAAACAUGAAGAAAAUUCUACAGACUGUCAAAAAAUAUCUGAGCACCAGCUGUAUUAUUGGGUAGAAGCUUUGAUACUACUACACUGUCAACAAUGAAGGCUGCUCAGGCCUCAGCAGUUCUUAGCUCAUCUUCUAUCUCUGCCCCUAGAAACUCACCUGCCCAGUCUCCUGUUUCCUGUACACCACAGCAUCUUUCAUAUCCUAACAGUGCCAAGGGAAUAGACCUUAAUGUGUUACUUUGAAUUUUGUUUUAACAGUUACCUUCACUGCCUUAUCCUGAAAUUGGGACUAUAUAGAAAAGUGAGUAGCUUUUGUAGCAUAAUGAAUGUUUCCAUUCAACAAAUGUUUAAUAAAAGCCUAUUCCGUGCCAAGGUAUGCUAGGUUCCAGAGGAUUUAAUGAUGGGGCAGAAUUGGCCACUGUUCCUCCCUCACAGGAGCCCUAACCAAAUACCCACAGAAACACACACAAGUCCCCACUGUGAUGGGUGGUGAGCAGGAGAGGUGGCUGGUAACCUGAGAGCCCAUCUCCAGGUCUGACCUUCACUGAUAAUCAGAGAACAUUUGGAGAACAUUCCCUUGAAGAAGUGAGGCUUGAGCUGAGGAGGAAGAUGGAGAGGAAGCGUCAGUACGGGGAGGAUGGGUCUGAAAGAGUGGCCCAGGCAGCAGAAGGAGCACAGGGAAGGAGCAAGUGUGCAGGAGGAACUGAAAGAUGAGCUAUGUGGAGGGACAGCAUUCCAGAAUUCCAGGGCAUGGCAGGACAGAGGCUCUAGGGUGGAAACAGGAAUCGUGUGGGGUGUUCCAGGAACACCAGGCGGUAGUGUAGCUGGAGUGGAGUCCCCAGGGUUGGGGCAGCCAGAGAUCAUUCUUUGGGAGUAGAGAGUUAUGAUAGCAGAGAGGGAACAGGACCCAGAUCCCAGGCACCCAUAGAUCACAGUAAGUCUCCUGAGUCUGUGUUGCAGUGGGAAACCAGCACCUAUAAGAGAAGUGGUUAAGUGCUGAGGGAAAAUACGUAAGGUUAAGUGUUAAAGAGAGACUAGAAGGCUGGGCAGUUUACUUAAAACCCAAAGGCAGAAGAUUCUGUCUGAAUUCUCUGACAGGAAGUGACCUCAGGGCUGAGUUUUGAACAAUCUGAAGCACCAACCAUGCAGACUUUCAGGGGAAACCAGUUCCAGGAAGAGAAAAUAGUGCUAAAGUGGGGACAAGCAUGACAUCUCCUGGAAAGAGCAAGAAGGUCAGCGUGGCUGGAACACAGGAUGGGAGGGAGGAGUGGGAAGGAAGCAGCCUGGGGAGGAACACAGGGCCAAACGGAGGCCCCUGGAGGCCAGAGCCCGGCAACUUGGCUUUUAUUCUAAAUGUUUUUGGAAGGUUUGGAAGGUUUAUAAAUGGAAAAAAAUGGCAUGAUAUUUGUCUUAGUGCGAUUGUUCUGAUUGCUGUGUUGGGAGUAGACAACUAUGGGGAAGAAGUGGAAGCAGGGAGGCCAGACAGGAGGCCAUUGCACUAGCUAAGGCCAAAGAUGGCAGCGGCCUCGACUUGACUAGGUUCAGGACUUAUUUUGGAAGCAGAACUGAGGGCACUCACUGGUACAUUGGAUAUAGAGGAUUGGAUAUAGAGGAUAUAGAGGAUAUCAUUGGAUAGAGAGCCAUCAGAAUGGCUUCUGCUUCUGUUUCUGUUAUGAUUGUCCUUUGUUCAUCUGUUGAGGGAAAUGGCUGAAAACCUUGUGGAUUUGGGGUGUUUGCUCUUGACUAAGAAGAGUACAGAGCUCAGGAAGAGCCUUAGUCGAGGCUGGGUGAGGGGCCACAGCCUGAGGACAGUGAGACGUGUAGGAAGAAUGGGACAGUCCUGGGAGCAAGGAGAGCAAGGGAAGCAGUGGGGCUCCUUGAGGAGAGUGGGUGGGGGAGAACCUGUGAGGGAAGACCAGUUAUGCUCCCUGGAUUAUUAUUUCUUUAAUCAUUGUGCACUACAAUUGACUUUGCAUCUGUGUAUCUGUACAGGUCUAGGAAUGUUAGGUGCUGUAUAAUACAUACAACUUCUACCACAGUCAGGACACAGAACAAUUCCACUGGCAAAACAAAACCUCCCUCAUGAUAUCCUGUGAUCUGCUCUCCACUACUAUUGUAUUGUCUGUUUGAGACAUCCAUAUAAAUUGAAUCAUACUGUAUAUAAUCUUUUGAGACUAGAUUCUUUCACUCAGAAUGCCUCUCAAAUGCCUCUGAGAUUCAUCCAAGUUGUUGCUUUUUAUCGAUGAGUAAAUAUUCCAGUGUAUGAAAGUACCACAGUUUGUUUAUCCAUUCAUCCAUUGAAGGACAUUUGGAUUACUUCCAGGUUUGGGCAAUUAUGAAGUGAGCUGCUAAAAAAUAUUCAUGUAUAGGCUUUUGUAAGAACAUAAGUUUUCAUCUCUCUAGGGUAAAUACCCAGGAGUGGGAUUGCUGGGUUUUAUGCUAAGUGUAUGUUUAACUUCACAAGAAACUGUCAAACUUCCAGUAUGGCCAUUCCAUUUUACAUUCCCGCCUGCAACAGAUGAGAGUUCCGUUUGUUCUGCAAUGUUGCCAUCAUUUUGUGUUUUCAGCCUUUUUCUUUUAUUUCAGCCAUUCUAAUAGGUAUAUAAAGGUACUCAAUUGUGGUUUUAGAUUUCCUUUUAGGUAUCUCAUAUAAGUGGAAUCAGACAAUAUUUUUCCUUCUGUAACCUAGCUUAUGUCUUUUAGCAUAAUGUCUUUCAUUUAUGCUGUUUGUAUAACAUAACUGUCUUCUUUUUUAAGCCUAAAAAAUAUCCCGUAGUGUAUUCAUACCAUAUUUUCUUUAUCUGUCCAUCUAUUGAUGGACAUUUAUGUUGUUUCCAAACCUUGGCUAUGUGAAUAAAGCUGCAGCGAACAUAGGGAUAUCAAUAUCUCUUUAAGAUCCUGAUUUCAAACCUUUUGGAUAUGUAUACCCAAAAGUGGGAUUGCUAGGUAAUCUAUUAUUUCUUUUUUUUUUUUUUUAGUUAUUUGAAAAGCCUCCAUAUUGUUUUCCAUAACAGCUACAUUAUUUUGCAAUCCUACCAACAGUUUAAAAUGGUCCCAACUCUUCCACAUCCUCACCAGCAUUUGUUAUCUCCUGUCUUUUUUGGUAAUAAUCAUCUGAAUGAAUGUGAGAUAAUAUCCCAUUAUAGUUUUGAUUUGUAUUUUCCUUAUGAUUAGUGAUGUUGAAUACUUUCAUAUACCUAUUGGCUAAUGAAAAUGUCUGUUCAAAUCUAUUGCCUCUUUUUAAUUCAGUUAUUUGGGGUUUUGUUUUGCUAUUGGGUUGUAGGAGUUCCUUAUAUAUUUUAGUUGUUAAUCCUUAUCAGAUAUAAGAUUUGCAAAUAUUUUCUCCCAUUUUGUAGGUUUCCUUUGUUUUGCAGAAGUUUUUUGUUGUUGUUGUUAUUGUUUGUUUGUUUGUUUGUUUUAGGUAGUCCCAUUGUCUAUUUUAGCUUUUGUUGCUUGUGCUUUUAGGGAUCAUAUUCAAGAAAUCAUUGCCAAAACCAACAUCAUGAAGUUUUUAAUCCUAUAUGUUCUUUAGGAAUUUUAUAGUUUCAGGUCCUACUUUUAAGUCUUUGUACAAUUAUGCAAUUAAUUUUUGUGUCUGAUGUAUGACAAGGGUUCAAUUUUCUUCUUUUACAUAAAAAUAUCCAGUUUUCCCAAAACAUUAAAAAAUUCAUACAUCAUGACCAAGUAGGACUUAUCCCUGCGAUGCAAGGAUGGUUCAAUAUAUGCAAAUUAAAUAAUGUGAUACAUCAUAUUAACAGAAUGAAGGAUAAAAACACACAAUUAUCUCAAUAAAUGCGUUAAAACUUCUGCAAAAAAUUAUAAAAACCAUCAACAAUGUAGGUAUAGAAGGAAUUUACCUCAAAAAAUAAAUGCCAUAUAUAAAAUCACACACUAAUAUCAUAGUCACUGGUGAAAAAUGAAAAUGUUUCUAAUGUUAAGAGUGAGGCAAGGAUGCUCACUUUUCCCAUCUUUUUCUAUUCAAUGUGGGAAUGAAUAUCCUAACCAGAGUAAUGAGGCAAUAAAAAGAAGUAAGAAUCACCCAAAUAGGAAAGGAAAAAGUAAAAUUAUCUCUGUUUGUAGAUGUUGUGACCUUAUAUAUAGAAUAUGUAAGACAAAGACUCCACAAAAAAAAAUAUUAAAACUAGUAAAUAAAUCUAGUAAAGGUGCAGAAUAAGAAAACAACAUUCAAAAACCAGUUACAUCUCUAUGCACUAGCAAUAAACUUUUCAAAAACUAAAUUAGCAAUCCCAUUUAUAAUAAUACCAAAAUGUAUAAAAUACUUAAGUAAUAAGUAUGUUAAAAUUUAAAAUUUAAUAAGUAUUUUAAAAUCUACCAAACAAGAAAGAAAUUUUAAAAGAUGCAAAUAAAAGGAAAGACAUCUACAUUCAUGGAUUGGAAGAUUUAAAAUUGUUAAGACGGCCACACUACCCAAAGAUAUCUAUUUACAGAAAGCAAUUCUUAUCAAAAUCCCCAUGUCGCCUGUUACAGUGUGGCACAUGUCUGUAAUCCCAGUGGCUCAGAAGGCUGAGACAGGAGGAUCCCCAGGGUCUGUCUCUAAAUAAAAUACAAAAUAGGGCUGGAGAUGUGGAUCAGUGGUCAAGUGCCCCUGAGUUCAAUCCCCAGUAACCCCCCCCCAAAAAAAAUAUGGCACUAACAUGAAAAAGUAUUUAUAUAUAUGAACCAGUAGAGCAAAAUAGAGUCCAGAAGUAAACUGAUCUGCACCAUCAAUGCCAAGAAUACACAACAGGGAAAGAAUAAUCUUUGUAUUUUUUUAAAAAAUCUGCAUGCCUAUACCUACAAAAAUUCUUGCAGGAAUUUUGGUGGGAAUUUUGUUACAUAUAGAGAUCCAUUUAAUUGAUCUUUUUAGAAGUUUUUUAUUGAGUUUUUUUAGUCCAAGAAAAGGAUAUGUUUACUUACUUAGGUCUUUGUUGAUUUCUUUUAUUAUCCUUUCCUAGUUUUUGACAAAUAGACCCUGUGCAAGUUUUGUUAUGUUUAUAGCCCAAUAUGUUACUUUUCAGAGAUUUUAAGAUAUUUCUUUAAAAUUUUGGUUUAUAUUUAUAAAUGACUAGUAUAUAAAAUACAAUUGAUUUUUUUGUGUUUAUCUUGUAUCUUGAAACUUAUUGAUACUAGAAGUUUUUUGUUUAUUUUUUAUAAAUUACUUGCACUUUUCUUCAUAGACAAAUAUAUUGCCAAUGAAUAGUUGCUGCCUUAUUUCUUCCUGUCCAAUCAUGUCUUUCUCUUGCCUUAUUAUUCUUGGUCAUACUUCCAAUAAACUAUUGAAUAGAAAUAGCGAAGGUGGAGACUAUUACUUUGUACCUUAUUUGAGAAGAAACCAUACAAUCUUUUGGUAUUAGUUAUGCUGUUAGUUAUGAGGUUUUUGUUGUGGUGGUGGUAGUCAUCAUCAUUAACAUUUAUUAUUUUGAGGUAGUCUUCAAUUUCUGGUUACUGGUUAUCAUAAAGACAUGUUAAAUUUUAUCACAAGAUCUUUCUGCAACAAAUGAAAUAAAUAUGUGACUUGAGUUCUUCAGUGUCAAUAUGGUAUAUUGUUCUUGGUCAUCGUAUAAUUCUUUUUAUAUAUAUUGCUAGAUUUGACUUGUUAAAAUUUGUUGAAGAGUUUUUUGUGUCUGUAUUAACGCAUGUUAUCAAUCUGAAGUUAUUUUGUAUUUUCUUUUUAUUUGUAUUAUUAUUUUUGUGUUGCCUUUGUAUUUUCACUUCUGGAAUGCAUCUUUGUAAAAUGCAGAUUCAGAUAACAUAAUGUUUAGAGGAGAAUUUAUAGCAUUAAAUGAUUACAGAAAGCAUUUAAUAAUGCUAGAAAAGAAUAAAAGCUUCAAAUCAAUUAUCCAAACCUCCACCUUAAAAACUUUUUUUUAAAAAAAAAGGUAAAAUAAUUGAAAGUAUACAGAAAAUAAGUACAAAGUUAAUUAAAUAAAACAGGAUUUAAUUGAUAUCAAGUUCAUGCAGGUCUCAUGAGUUAGUAAGUGUUCCAACAUAUUCAAUUUUCUGGAAGAGAUUUUGUAGAGUUGGUCAAAUUUCUUCUUUAAAUGUUCUGGAGAAUUAACCAGUGAAAUCAUUAUAAACCCAGGAAAUUUCUUUUUCAGAAGAAUUUUAGCUACAAAUUCAGUUUAACAGUUAUAUUACAAUUUAGGUUAUUUAUUUCAUCUUGGUGAGUUUGGGUAGUUUGAACUUUUCAAGUGAUUUGUACAGUUUUUUGUUUGUUUGUUUGUUUUGGUUUGGUUUUUGGUACCAAGGAUUGAACCCAGGGGCACUUAGCCCCUAAGACACAUCCCCAACGUUUUUUAUACCUUAUUUUGAGACAGGGUCUAGCUAAGUUACUUAGGGACUUGCUAAAUUGCUAAGGCUGGCUUUCAACUUGCUAUCUUCCUGCUUCAUCCUCCCAAGCUGCUGGGAUUACGAGCUUGUGCCAUCACACCCAGCUUGAAUAGUCCUUUUAAUAUGUUGGAUUUACAUGCAGAGAAUUGUUUUCUAGUAUUCCCUGGUGAUUUUUUCAACUGCUUAUAGGACCUAUAGUAGUUACCUUCUCUUUCAUUUAUUGGUAUCCAUAAGUGAAUUAGUGAAUUUCUCUCUCUCUCUCUCUCUCUCUCUCUCUCUCCCCCCUCCCCCCACCCCCUUUCUCUCUCCUUCUUUCUCCAUCAUCUUGCUAGAGACUUACAAGUUUUAAUGAUUUUUGUAAAGAACUAAUUUGUGGCUUUCUUAAUAAUAAUUAAAAAAAUUAUUUUUCUGUUUUUUCAUUGAUUUCUACUCUUCAUUGCUUCUUUUGUUCCCAUUGCUGCCAUUUAAGAGAUUGCUUGGGAACUGGGGUGUAAGGAAACAGGGGAAAAUAUAAAAGAAAUGAUGUGUUUUUGCAUUAUUUCUGAGUUAGGAGUCUCCUUUCUGACUCCUUGAACAAGCUUCUCCUUGGCUCUCUGCUCCCUGAUGCCUACUUCUGGCUUUCGGACUACACUGAGUUCAGGAUGGGAGAGCACAAGGAGAAAAAGUGGUAAAUUAACUCUAGUUUCUUGACACCCCAAAUUCUGGUUUUUUUCCUCAAUUUGCUCACUAUUUACCUUUGAAGCCCUCAUACAGUCUGUCCAGGUUCUAUAGCUGCAGUCAAUCAAAGCAACCAGAUGAAGUGUGUUUCUUCCCGAUGAGGUGAUCUCAGCUUCCAUCACCACCACAGCUCCAUCUCCCUGAGCUUGCCUUCCAUCUCCACUGCCUUUACCAACAGCCCAUCUCCAUGAGUCCCAUGAAAAUCAUCGGCAUCAAGACAAAUUUGAAAAUGGCCACAACCAGGAGGAGAAAGAUCCUAGCCAUCUAAGAAGCUUUUUUUUUUUUUCCUUCAGAGAGCAAUUCCUGCUACAUGAGAAUUGGUAAUUUGUUCCAAAGAAUAGAAUACUUAGGAUACUCAAUGACUUUAAUCUUGGGGCAUCAUGUUCAAAUGUGGCCCAGGUUGUCCUGAAGGUCUUUGGAGGGUUUCCUGACAAGCCAAGACUGAUGAUUUGGGAGAUGNCUCAAAUUGAAUGGUCAUUGUGCACCAGGCUGGUUAUCUCACCAUUUGUUAUAUAAUAAAGAGGAUCAGAUAAACACAGGCCUAACCUCUGCCUCCAUUGAUAAUGUAAAUCAUCCCUUGUAUCAUUUGUCUUUCCUUCAGGCUGGAUACAAAAGGCAUAGAAACGAACAAUUCAUGCCUAAAUACCAGAGAGCUUGAAAGCAUUGUACGUCAGAUGUUUAUUCUAGGUCAUCAUUAAGGGGUUGAGCGAAUUUGCUUAUAAACACCAGUGGGGAGUAGGAGAGCUGGAGUGAAUAUUGCAGUAUGGAAACAGCUCUUUUAAAGACACAUUGCAACUUUUCUGCCAUGCACAGUAAGUUAUAUAGAUAAUUCUUUUUAUAGGUUAUGAAAUGUUGUCUCCUGAGCGGUGCAAAGCAUAAUAUGCUCUAGAAACAAUGCUUUCACUUUGUGCAAAUGCCAUUUUUCAUUACCCGCUGAGUGGGGAGCUUGCUAGAGAUUGAAAUGAAAGCAGAGUUGCCCCUCCCAAAGAUGGUCAGGCACUUCCUGACACAUGCAGCAAAGACCUUCACGGGAGCCCCAGGAGGUCUCCCCCAGCAGCUUCCCCCACAAUAAAGUCUGCAGUGCCAAGCCCUUGAAGGAUGUUCAAUCUGUUCAGCCCAUCCAUUUCCACCGCCCUCUGCUCAGCUGAGGGUUUUGUGGGUUGCUGUUGUUGUUUCUCCCACCCAGUCCAACCGAAGGCCACUAAAGAAAAAGUGCCAAGACAAACAGAACAAGAGCCUUGGGAACCUGGUAAUGGGUACAGAGUGUGAGUGUGGUAAUCAUUCUUUUGAUUUGUGCUCAGAUAUGUUUUCUAUUUGCUUUCACACAGAAUGCACAUUUUCCCCCUGGAUUGCAAAUAAUCUGAACCAGGGCAAAACCAUUACAAAGUGGCCUUUCAAGCAUCAUGUCUGUCUUGAAACCCAAUGACUGAUCAGACAUUUAAAUAUGGAAGAAGGGAAUUUGGGUAAAUUGCAUUGAAAUGGUUUAAAAAAAACAUAUACUCUGAGAGUUGUUUAAUCGUUGCUUUCUCUCUCUCUCUCUCUCUCUCUCUCUCUCUCCAUUUAACUCUUUUAAAAAAGAAUUCUGCAUUUUCCCUUUUAAUUUGUUCCCAUUUCAAUGCUGGGGUUUUUUGUUUGUUUGUUUUUGUUUGAUUGGUUGGUUGAUUGGUUUUGGGUGCCAGAGUUGAAUCCAGAGCCUUCCACAUGCUAAGCAUGAACUCUAUCACUGAGUUACACCCCAGUUCAAUGAUUUGGUUUUAUCCACAAAGGUAAAAUCAAAGAAAUCAUUUUUGCACCAUUCCUAACAAAUAGAACAAUAAAGGCAGAUGAAGUGGAAUUCUCAAUGUUUCCGGUGACUGGGGAUCACAGUUCCUGAAGUAAAUGACAUCUUCUUACCCACCCUCAGUAUCUGCUGACCAGCCUUUUUGAAGUCAACCACAACAAAGAAAAAAGUACACUGGUGGAAUGAGUGUUUCAGCUGACCGUCUGCCAUCCCCACCCAGGAGACGGGGUGGAAGAGCUCAAUUGGGAAAUAAAGCUAAUGUGCUCGCACCGAAGGGCAAGGCCCUCCUCUGGUAGAGCCCCUGACAGCCGUCAGGCAAAGGCAUCCACCAUGGGCUCCGAGUCCUAGGUUAAUGUCAAGUGCUGGUUUUUCUUUUAGUUACUCAAGGAUCAAAGGAAAAUUAUUCAAUAAAAAGGAACUUAAAGGGGACUUCUGUGCCCACACAAACCUUAAUCUAAAACACUUGUUCAAAUGCAAUUCUUUGACCUGCCUUUUCAUAUUGUCUUUCUAGUUCUUACACACGUUUGUGAUUAAAAUCAGCAUUUUCUUUCUCACAAUUCAACGUUCCCUUUCCUUUUAGGUGACCAGAAUUUCACAAGAAUGACAUGACAGUGUAUUGCUAAGGAACUGAAGACUAUGUCACAAUUCAGCAUCCUAAUGAAGAACAGUGAAUACUAUUCAACAGAUUGGAUAUUGAGCAUAAAUUAGUUGUGUGUGUGUGUGAGUGUGUGUGUGUGUGUGUGUGUUAAAACUGAUGAGAAAGCAAGCAUGAGAGUGUUCCAACUGAGAUGUGGAUUAUUAGCCACCUCUCCCAUAAGAACUACUCCAAGAACUUCCAGUUACCCCUAACUUGUAAGGAUACCACUCAUGCACUUGAACUGUUUCACUCCCUUUUUUCAGAUCCUCGUGCCUUCAUACAUUGUGUCAAAGAUUUAUCUCGCUAUGACCUUAGUCACAUCCUCCUUUAAAAGGAGUCAAGCAUAAACUUCACAAAGUCUCUAAUAUUUUAGUUGUGCAGCAGGGAGACUGGAACAUGAAAUUCCUCCCACUUGGAGCACACCCACAUCAAUGCUUCUCUCAAAUCUAUUUAUCUUAGUCACGACCCAGAGCAUGAAUAGAAUGUGGUGAAUGUUCCCUGUGUUCUGUGUGCCUGAGCACUGGGAAAAGUUAGAAUUUAUACAGUUGUAAUUUCUAGGGAGAAGUUCAAUAACUUCUUAGGGGUUUUGUUGUUGUUGUUGUUGUUGUUUCAAUAGAAUUCUCUAAGAAGAAGAACA